GACGAACGCUGGCGGCGUGCUUAACACAUGCAAGUCGAACGGAAAGGCCCUGCUUUUGUGGGGUGCUCGAGUGGCGAACGGGUGAGUAACACGUGAGUAACCUGCCCUUGACUUUGGGAUAACUUCAGGAAACUGGGGCUAAUACCGGAUAGGAGCUCCUGCUGCAUGGUGGGGGUUGGAAAGUUUCGGCGGUUGGGGAUGGACUCGCGGCUUAUCAGCUUGUUGGUGGGGUAGUGGCUUACCAAGGCUUUGACGGGUAGCCGGCCUGAGAGGGUGACCGGCCACAUUGGGACGGGGAUACGGCCCGGACUCCUACGGGAGGCAGCAGUGGGGAAUAUUGCACAAUGGUCGGAAGCCGGAUGCAGCAACGCCGCGUGCGGGAUGACGGCCUUCGGGUUGUAAACCGCUUUCGCCUGUGACGAAGCGUGAGUGACGGUAAUGGGUAAAGAAGCACCGGCUAACUACGUG
rnacentral:rRNA from 1 species